rnacentral:lncRNA from 1 species
GAGAAGUGGUGCAAAAAUAUAAGAAAUGUAUAUAUGACCACGUAAGUACAACACCAUGGAUGUAUCGUAGGCCUAGGUCGAGGUGCAUGCCACCAUGCACGCUAAAUUUUGGAUAUUUAUCCUAAAAUAAUAGCAACUUUAUAGAAUCAUAUAAUAAUAAUAGGAUCAUGAUAACUCAUACGCUAUAUUCCAAAUACAGAAACUUAAUGAUUUUGCACUUACCAAUGAUUCUAGGGCCUUCAGUGUUUGGUAGUCAAUUCAAUUAUAGUAGUUUUAGUUGGAACAGUGGGUUCACGAAGGAGGCAACUUAAUGAUUUUGCACUUACCAAUGAUUCUAGGGCCUUCAGUGUUUGGUAGUCAAUUCAAUUAUAGUAGUUUUAGUUGGAAAAGUGGGUUCACGAAGGAGGCCCCGUUGGAGAGUAAGAAGCAGCUUGAUGACCUAACUUCAAUCAAAAGCUUUAUUGAUUAAGAGACUUCAACAGUAACUACGAUUGUAACACGCGUACGGUGAAGUAGAGGAGGGGUCCUUUGGAUUCUCGUUUCAAAGAUGAAGGGACCUACUCGCCGUAAUAGAACCAAAAAAAAGUUUUGGGCCACUGCUUCACCAAAAGCAUUUUACUUGUUUUGAUUUAAAUUUGUUUUGGGACUUUGACGGUUAGUAUAACUCCUAAGAGCAUCUGCAUUAGUGAACUCCAUGGGGAGUUCACACAGUUUUCGAAAAAAAAAAAUAUUAAAAUAAACAAAAGCAAUAAACCUCCCUCUUAGAAGUUCACUGCACUGAACCCGGAUCAUCACUGUAACGCGGGCCCCAUGACACGUGGCGGCCCGCGAUUGGUCCGGUUAUAAAUUUUUUUUUUUUUUUUAAAAAAAACAAAAAUCAAUCAGAAAAAAAAUAAUAAUAAAAAAAUGCUUUGUGAACCCCUUCCAAGAGGUUCAAUAAUGCUGAUGCUCUAAUUCCAAGACAAAUGUUUACGUGUCUUCUAUACGGACUCUCUUUUUUAACUUUCGACUUCACAGUGACUAGUGAGAUCUCUUUGUCUAAUUAGUUAUUUUAAUUCUAAAGGAUUAGUUAGUAAUCAUGAAUUAACUACACAGCUUUACACUUUUACAGGUGUAAAUUGAUGAGAUGUCCUUUUAGUUGUUUGAUUUUG